GAUGAAGAACGUAGCGAAAUGCGAUACGUAAUGUGAAUUGCAGAAUUCAGUGAAUCAUCGAAUCUUUGAACGCACAUUGCGCCCUCUGGUAUUCCGGGGGGCAUGCCUGUUCGAGCGUCAUUACAACCCUCAAGCUUUGCUUGGUAUUGGACAUUGCCAGUUUCUGGCAGGUCUUAAAAUCAGUGGCGGUGCCAUUUGGCUUCAAGCGUAGUAAUUCUUCUCGCUUUGGAGAUCCAGGUGGUUACUUGCCAAUAACCCCCAAUUUUUUCAGGUUGACCUCGGAUCAGGUAGGGAUACCCGCUGAACUUAAGCAUAUCAAUAAGCGGAGGA
rnacentral:misc_RNA from 1 species